AUCAGUGGCAAUAUCGUGGCCAGUGAGGCCAAGCCAAGGUGCAUUUAUUGCUAGUUGAAAACUUUUCCCAAACUUCUUCUGGAUCGAAGGAUUGGAUAUAGAGAAUUUUCCAUAAAACAGUUGGCAUCAUAUAAAUGAUAAAUGAGCUCUCAUGUGCUGUGUU
rnacentral:snRNA from 14 species